ACCAAUUCUUGGGGAUAAAAUAGGUUCCUCUAGGUGUAAUGGCUAGGGCGCUAUAUCGAGUUUUUGUGGCCAUCCUGAUUGGUGGUUGUUUUCAGUACCAUUUAAUCCCGGAAACACCACAUACAAUU